GCAAAAUAUUGGCCUGCAACAAUCUUGAACCUGGAAGAGAUUAUGAUGACAAAGAAGUCUGGAAUAAACAAGAAACCUCCGAACCACCAUAACUGUGUCUGCUACAAUGUGUGUUCUUGCAACCAGCUGAUUGAUUCAUUUUAUCAACUCUCAAAUGGUUGAUUAUCAGAACUGAAUUCAGAGCUGCUCCUGUCUGUAGUAACAUCUUAUUAGAGUGGACUUCAGAAUGAGGGUGUUGCUGGUUUAAAAACUUCACUCCAUGGAGCUCUCCAUAUUCAUCUCAAAUUAGACUGCUUCUGGAAACCAAAUUUGUUCCUUCAAGCAGAGAAGCUUGUGGCUUUCCUGACUGGACUUCUAUGGAUUCUUCUUGCCAACAUUAAGGACUGUGGGCUGACAUUCAGUGGUAAAACACUUGAUGAAGAUGAUAUGAAUUUUUAUUUGAUAUAAAUGAAUCUCAGAAGUAAUUCCUCAGGAGUAAGAAACAAUGAAAAUUAAAAAUAAAAGGUCCAUCAAUAA